rnacentral:rRNA from 1 species
GUCAAAGACCACACCACAUUGAAAGCACUGGUUCUCGUCCAAUCACCAAAGUCAAGCAAAGUCGGGCCAGGUUAGUACUUGGAUAGGUAACCACCUUGUAGGAAUGUCUGAGAGAAAUUUUGAAG